rnacentral:rRNA from 1 species
GACGAACCGUGCGAACGUUGUUCGGAAUCACUGGGCUUAAAGGGCGCGUAGGCGGGCAAGCAAGUCUGGGGUGAAAUCUUUCGGCCUAACCGGAAAAGUGCCUUGGAUACUGCAUGUCUCGAGGGAGGUAGGGGCAGAUGGAACUUCCGGUGGAGCGGUGAAAUGCGUUGAUAUCGGAAGGAACGCCGGUGGCGAAAGCGAUCUGCUGGAUCUCAUCUGACGCUGAGGCGCGAAAGCUAGGGGAGCAAACGGG